rnacentral:rRNA from 1 species
UACAGAGGUGCCAAGCGUUAGGCGGAAUCACUGGGCUUAAAGCGCGUGUAGGCGGGUCGUUAAGUGUCUUGUGAAAUCCCGCGGCUCAACCGUGGAACUGCUGGGCAUACUGACGAUCUUGAGGCACUCAGGGGCUGUCGGAACAAAUGGUGGAGCGGUGAAAUGCGUAGAUAUCAUUUGGAACGCCAACGGUGAAAACAGACAGCUGGGGGUGUCCUGACGCUGAGACGCGAAAGCCAGGGGAGCGAACGGG